CACCUGGGCGUCUGGUCCAAACAAUAGGAGUUUCCUAAUUUGGGGAAACAAAGGUACUGCUCUGGGAAAGGUUUGGUCACACCUAAACUCUAAUUAACAUUAUCAAAGAGUCAAGGACACCGGAGCCAGCACUGAAUGCAUCCCUGGUGAUAUGCAUAAUCAGUUAGUUCAGGAAGGACAGAUGUUGACUACAUGACAAUUUGACUAUCCAAAAUGGAGGAUGGGUAACUUCCUGUAACUGACUGGUAUGUGCUAGCAUCAUUCAAACAGACCAAUCAGGAGAGACUUCUAGAAAGGUCUAGAAUCCACCCCUCUCUCCUGUAUAUAGGUAGGGCAUAGAUGGAGACUCAGGGCCAGGAGAGAAGUGACCACCUUACCAGAUCAGAGGGAAUCCUGACAUCACGGACCAGGCACUUAUCAAACCUAAGGAGAGAACCUCAUAGUAUUGCAGGCUCUUUGCAACAGAACUAUGGCCGACAGCUAUCCAGUUAAGAAGCCAAGCUCUUCUCCUGCCAGGGCACCGCUAUUCUAUUCCAACCAUGCUAUUGAACCAGAAAGAGUGGAGAUGUUGCAACAUCAGAACAUCCCAGGUCCACAUUGUCAAUCUACUGUGAUGACCAUAUCAGCUACUGAAUUACCCGUGAGAGAUCACUUGGUAUGGUCCAUUGCCAACACCUUCUGCAUGAAUGUAUGCUGCCUCGGCUUGAUCGCAAUAUUAUUCUCCGUCAAGAGUCGAGAUCAGAAGCUGAUCGGGAACAGAACCAGAGCACAGAAUUAUGGCUCUAUAGCGCUGGCACUCAACAUCACCGCCACUCUGAUAGUCUGCAGUUUCAUUAUUUUUCUAAUUAGAUAUAUUGGUGUUAGGUUGCGUUAACUGCUUUCUAAACUUCAUUACUGUGACCAGAACUUCUCUUAUUAACCCUUGGAACGCUGCAGAAGUCAAAUCACCAAAUCUUGCAGAUAACAGCCUUGCUGACUGAGCUUUUUACCCUUUGCCUUAUUGCUAGAAUUGCCUGCUGUAGGGAAGGGCUACUAUCCAUGUGUCUCCUGCUUGAGUUCAUUAUAUUAACGCAUAAAAAUAAACCAUUGACUACAAUCUG